GUGCAAACAGUGCUAAAGGUCGAUAAACCCAAGGAAUGUGGACAAAAAACCAGUCUGAUCUGACUUUGCUGAUGGUCAAAGUUCUGCUGGUGGGUCCACAAAAGUGGUGCAGACACAGUGUAGGCUGCUGGCUAAGGGAGUCACUGUUGUUUCAAAAACCUAUCAAAAUCGGGUAGAUCAAUAGGGCUGGUGCAGGCGUAGACAUUUAUGUGUAUGCUGUACAAUGAUAUGACAGCCUUUUUUCGUUUAACCUGAAAUGCUCACGGCGUACAAGGUACUGGAAAAGUUGGGGAGCACUGACAUCUCUGUCCUUUGCCAGUACAAAAAUACUGACAGAGAGCAAUGGACCAUUAUGGACAAAACAUCUGGGCACAGCUGGAGAGGGAAAGUUCCGGAGAUUGACGUGUGUAGAAGAAGAAUGGAAACAGGAGCUGGGAGCCUGCUGGUAAAGCAGAGAGAUUCCUAAGAGGAGCAGGAAACAUCCAUAGGGUCAUCUCCACUACAGGAAAAAAGUGUAUGUCGACCCAUCUCAAGAUCCAGUGCACACUGGCUUCUUCUCAGAAAUCUAGCUCACAGUAACUCUUCUGAAUUCUGCAUACGAGUUUUGCACCUUCUGGCUCAGGGAUAAUGAAAUACAGGCUUUCAGCUUUUCUUGUUUUGCUUUUUGAGAAAACAUAUCCUGCUUGUUUUCGUAAGCUUUUAAAAGUGUUCAGAAGUGUUUAAAAAUGGCACGUGGCAGUGUACCAAAUUAACAUGGUAGGCAUAAUGAGUGUUAUCAUAUUUAUGUCUUACAUAUUACCUCCACCUUGAUAUCUCCUUUUUUUGAAGGAAAAAGCCUAUCAAGACUUAUCAUUUAAUAAAACAGUAAUUGCAGCAGUUGCUUUCUUUGGU
rnacentral:lncRNA from 1 species